rnacentral:miRNA from 1 species
AUUUAACUCAAGUGAGCAUUGU